AACGAGCGCUGGCGGCAUGCCUAACACAUGCAAGUCGAACGGCUCUUCGGAGCAGUGGCGGACGGGUGAGUAACGCGUGGGAAUGUGCCCUUUGGUACGGAACAACACAGGGAAACUUGUGCUAAUACCGUAUGUGCCCUUCGGGGGAAAGAUUUAUCGCCAUUGGAGCAGCCCGCGUUGGAUUAGGUAGUUGGUGAGGUAAAGGCUCACCAAGCCUACGAUCCAUAGCUGGUCUGAGAGGAUGACCAGCCACACUGGGACUGAGACACGGCCCAGACUCCUACGGGAGGCAGCAGUAGGGAAUCUUGCGCAAUGGGCGAAAGCCUGACGCAGCCAUGCCGCGUGUAUGAUGAAGGUCUUAGGAUUGUAAAAUACUUUCACCGGGGAAGAUAAUGACGGUACCCGGAGAAGAAGCCCCGGCUAACUUCGUGCCAGCCGCCGCAGUAACAC
rnacentral:rRNA from 1 species